rnacentral:rRNA from 1 species
GAGUAACACGUGACUAACCUGCCCUCGAGUGGGGAAUAACCCCGGGAAACCGGGGCUAAUACCGCAUAACAUCGCAAGAUCAAAGCCGAAAGGCGCUUGAGGAGGGGGUCGCGGCUGAUUAGCUAGUUGGUAGGGUAACGGCCUACCAAGGCAAAGAUCGGUAGCCGGCCUGAGAGGGCGCACGGCCACACUGGAACUGAAACACGGUCCAUACUCCUACGGGAGGCAGCAGUGGGGAAUUUUGCGCAAUGGGGGAAACCCUGACGCAGCAACGCCGCGUGGAGGAUGAAGUCCUUUGGGACGUAAACUCCUUUCGACCCGGACGAUACUGACGGUACGGGUGGAAGAAGCACCGGCUAACUCUGUGCCAGCAGCCGCGGUAAU